rnacentral:rRNA from 1 species
CGGCSUAUCAGMUUGUUGGUGGGGUAAUGGCCUACCAAGGCGAMGACGGGUAGCCGGCMUGAGAGGGUGACCGGCCACACUGGGACUGAGRCACGGCCCAGACUCCUACGGGAGGCAGCAGUGGGGAAUAUUGCWCAAUGGGCGGAAGCCUGAUGCAGCGACGCCGCGUGAGGGAUGACGGCCUUCGGGUUGUAAACCUCUUUCAGCAGGGAAGAAGCCACAAGUGACGGUACCUGCAGAAGAAGCGCCGGCUAACUACGUGCCAGCAGCCGCGGUAAUACGUAGGGCGCAAGCGUUGUCCGGAAUUAUUGGGCGUAAAGAGCUCGUAGGCGGUUUGUCGCGUCUGCUGUGAAAGCCCGGGGCUCAACCCCGGGUCUGCAGUGGGUACGGGCAGACUAGAGUGCAGUAGGGGAGACUGGAAUUCCUGGUGUAGCGGUGAAAUGCGCAGAUAUCAGGAGGAACACCGAUGGCGAAGGCAGGUCUCUGGGCUGUUACUGACGCUGAGGAGCGAAAGCAUGGGGAGSGAACAGGAUUAGAUACCCUGGUAGUCCAUGCCSUWAAYKUUGGCACUAGGUGUGGGGGACAUUCCACGUUCUCCGCGCCGUAGCUAACGCAUUAA